UCUAUAGACCAGAACACGCUAGUCUCGCACCCAGACUAACCGAACGCAUACUCUCGCACCCGGGUUGCCCCGUCGACCGGCGCUAUUUUGUACUGGGCUGCCAAAGUGUGUUCGCCGGCGACCAGUAGACAUGGCAAGCGCCAGCUCUAGGGCUCCAAAGUGCGGAAAUGUGCCCGUUCACACGGAUCCAAAGUAGAAGAAGUCAUCUGGGCAUCAUUGCGUCGUGUUUGGAUGCCAAAACAACCAGCGGAAAAGGAGCAGGUUGCUUAGCGCUGGUUGCGAAGAGCACAACACACGUAGGGAAUCGUGCCGGUGCGGUGUUUUCAGCCUGCGCCGAUUUCCAUCCGCAACGAAGAAUGCCAAGCUGCGCCACCGGUGGAUAGCUGCAGUGAAUAGGAAGAACUACCAACCCAGUGAAAAUGCACGAGUUUGCUCCGAGCACUUUCUGGGCAACAAGCCUACAGAGCAGAAUCCCGCGCCGGUGCUUCGCCUUGGCUAUAACAAAAAGUGUGCAGGUGGUGAAGGGCAGGCGUCUGCUAACCAGGCAGUCAAACGACCUCGGCAGUUGGUUGCCAAGCGCGGCCAACCCAGUAGAGACCAUUACAAACAAGACCAAACUGAAAGUGCAGAUGACAGUGUUCUGCGUGCUUUAAUAAUAUAUGGCACCAACACAGUGCUGUAAAUUCCUUCACAGGUUACGUGCCAAAAAGCUCACAGGUGUUCUAGCAUAUAACGCGCGGUUUGUACAAACGUAAUAGCGUACCUACCCGAUGUAUUCGCUUCUGUAGUCUGCACAGCACUCAGUAUGUCCAUUGUGGACUUGCACGAGGUCUUGAAGUUUGAUUGAAUCCAGACAGCGAAAAUGACAGGUUAGAAAAAAACGUGAAACACGCCUUCCGCCCAGCUAAAAAGCCCAAGUUUCGCUUUCGCGCCGGGUCGCAUCUCCCGGCGUGGCAGCCCAGGCCUGCUACUUCGCGGCGCUUGGGAUAGAUGGCGCGACCGGCGCUAAUCAAUAUGGCGGCGCCCUUUGAAUUCACGGUGUUCUGGUGUAU